rnacentral:lncRNA from 10 species
GAUUUCUCCAAGUGGUUGCAGAUGACAUGAUUUCCCAAAGUGUUAGAGCUGAAGUGUGUUUCCUUGUGUAUAUAUACUGUGGUUCCUUUAUCCCUUCAUCUGUGGAUAGACAGGUGCAACCGUGUGGUUCCCCACGAUAUGAUUUCAUUGUGGUUUUCUGUCUGAAGAGUAUCCCAGUAUGUACCUGUGGAGCAGCUUCUUUAUCCCUUCAUCUGUGGAUAAGCAGGUAG